rnacentral:rRNA from 1 species
GACGAACGCUGGCGGCGUGCUUAACACAUGCAAGUCGAACGGAAAGGCCCUGCUUUUGUGGGGUGCUCGAGUGGCGAACGGGUGAGUAACACGUGAGUAACCUGCACUUGACUUUGGGAUAACUUCAGGAAACUGGGGCUAAUACCGGAUAGGAGCUCCUGCUGCAUGGUGGGGGUUGGAAAGUUUCGGCGGUUGGGGAUGGACUCGCGGCUUAUCAGCUUGUUGGUGGGGUAGUGGCUUACCAAGGCUUUGACGGGUAGCCGGCCUGAGCGGGUGACCGGCCACAUGGGGACUGAGAUACGGCCCAGACUCCUACGGGAGGCAGCAGUGGGGAAUAUUGCACAAUGGGCGGGAGCCUGAUGCAGCAACGCCGCGUGCGGGAUGACGGCCUUCGGGUUGUAAACCGCUUUCGCCUGUGACGAGGCGUGAGUGACGGUAAUGGGUAAAGAAGCACCGGCUAACUACGUG